GACGUAGGGCGCGAGCGUUGUCCGGAUUUAUUGGGCGUAAAGGGCUCGUAGGCGGCUCAUUGCGUCAACCGUGAAAACCAGCAGCUCAACUGUUGGCUUGCGGUUGAUACGGGUGGGCUGGAGUUCGGUAGGGGAGACUGGAAUUCCUGGUGUAGCGGUGAAAUGCGCAGAUAUCAGGAGGAACACCGGUGGCGAAGGCGGGUCUCUGGGCCGAUACUGACGCUGAGGAGCGAAAGCGUGGGGAGCGAACAGG
rnacentral:rRNA from 1 species